rnacentral:rRNA from 1 species
CGGGAAUUUUGGACAAUGGGCGCAAGCCUGAUCCAGCCAUGCCGCGUGGGUGAAGAAGGCCUUCGGGUUGUAAAGCCCUUUCGGCUGGGACGAAAGGUCCGCGCUAACACCGCGGAUCCAUGACGGUACCAGCAGAAGAAGCACCGGCUAACUACGUGCCAGCAGCCGCGGUAAUACGUAGGGUGCAGGCGUUAAUCGGAAUUACUGGGCGUAAAGCGUGCGCAGGCGGUCUAUUAAGACAGGUGUGAAAUCCCCGGGCUUAACCUGGGAACUGCGCUUGUAACUGAUAGGCUUGAGUGUGGCAGAGGGGGUGGAAUUCCACGUGUAGCAGUGAAAUGCGUAGAGAUGUGGAGGAACACCGAUGGCGAAGGCAGCCCCCUGGGCUAACACUGACGCUCAUGCACGAAAGCGUGGGGAGCAAACAGGAUUAGAUACCCUGGUAGUCCACGCCCUAAACUAUGUCAACUGGUUGUCGGGGAAGCAAUUCCUUGGUAACGAAG